GUGGGGAAUUGUUCGCAAUGGGCGCAAGCCUGACGACGCAACGCCGCGUGGGGGAUGAAGGUCUUCGGAUUGUAAACCCCUGUCGAGCGGGACGAACGGCCCGCGACCUAACACGUCGCGGGAGUGACGGUACCGCUAAAGGAAGCCACGGCUAACUCUGUGCCAGCAGCCGCGGUAAUACAGAGGUGGCAAGCGUUGUUCGGAAUUACUGGGCGUAAAGGGCGCGUAGGCGGCCCUCUAAGUCAGACGUGAAAUCCCCCGGCUCAACCUGGGAACUGCGUCUGAUACUGGAGGGCUUGAGUGCGGGAGAGGGAUGUGGAAUUCCAGGUGUAGCGGUGAAAUGCGUAGAUAUCUGGAGGAACACCGGUGGCGAAGGCGGCAUCCUGGACCGACACUGACGCUGAGGCGCGAAAGCUAGGGUAGCAAACGGGAUUAGAAACCCCAGUAGUCC
rnacentral:rRNA from 1 species